rnacentral:rRNA from 1 species
GGUUUCCGUAGGUGAACCUGCGGAAGGAUCAUUGAA